CCCGAGAACAAUUGACAACUGGAUAACCGUUGUAAUUCAAGGGCUAAUCAUGCAUGAAAAGUAGUUUUUAACGAGACUACUGCAUUUGUUAGUUCCAAACCAACAUUUAAAAGGUGAAUCAUGACAAAUUGCGGAUCUACAUGUCUUUAUGACGGUAGACGACUCGGUCAGGUCUUUCCCCUAUCAGGUUUCAACCCGAGUGUAUUGUACUCAGGUGCCGCUGACGGGUAACGGAGAAUUAGGGUUCGAUUCCGGAGAAGGAGCCUGAGAGACGGCUACUACAACUAAGGUAGGCAGCAGGCGCGCAAAUUUCCCAAUGCUCAUCGAGCGAGGAAGUGACGAUCAAUAACAAUGUGUGGCUUUUUAAGCUAUGCAAUUGGCAUGACUACAAUUUAAAAAAUAUAAGGAGGAUCAAUUGGAGGGCAAGUCGUGCCAGCAGCCGCGGUAAUUCCAGCUCCAAUAGGAUAUAUCAAAGUUGUUGCAGUUAAAAAGCUCGUAGUUGAAUUUCUGAUGGGUAGAUGUGGGGUGUUAAUAUUCAGUAAUGGAUGUUUACUUUGCCGCCUGUCAUUUUGUGGAAAAACGAUUGGAUUUGUUCUUCAUUGAACGAAUUUAAUUGCCACUCAGUUACUGAGAGCAAAUUGGAGUGCUCAAAGCAGGCUUGAUAGCUUUGAACAUAUUAGCUUGGAAUAACAAUGAAUGACUUGAUCGUAUUUGUUGGUUAUAUAAUUAAGUAAUGAUUAACAGGAACAGUGGCGGGGGUGUCUGUAUUGGGAAGUCAGAGGUGAAAUUCUUGGAUUUUUCCACGACAAACAACUGCGAAAGCAUUCACCAAGGAUGUUUUCAUUAAUCAAGAACGAAAGUGUGGGGAUCGAAGAAGAUUAGAUACCUUCGUAGUCCACUCCUUAAACGAUGCCGACUCGGGAUGUGCUCAUUAAACGUUACAGUUUGGAGCAUGCACCGUAUGAGAAAUCAAAGUCUUUGGGUUCCGGGGGGAGUAUGGUCGCAAGGCUGAAACUUAAAAGAAUUGACGGAAGGGCACACCAGUAGUGGAGCCUGCGGUUCAAUUUGACCCAACACAGUGAAACUUACCAGGUCCAGACAUGGCGAGGAUUGACAGUUUGAAAGCACUUUCUUGAUUUCAUGGGUGGUGGUGCAUGGCCGUUCUUAGUUGGUGGAGUGAUUUGUCUGGUUGAUUCCGAUAACGAACGAGACGGGAGGAGUUCACUAGUUUGUACGUAAUUCGCGUUAUGUCAAGCUUCUUUACUCGACUGGUCAUUUUUAAUGACAGGAAGCGUCCCGCAAUAACAGGUCUGUGAUGCCCUUAGAUGUUCUGGGCCACACGCGCGCUACAAUGACGAUUUCAACGAGUUUUUUCCUCCUUGCCCGGAAGGGUGUGGGUAAUCUUUUCAAUGGUCGUCGUGAUGGGGCUAGAUUUUUGCAAUUAUGAAUCUUCAACGAGGAAUUUCUAGUAUGUGCAAGUCAUCAGCUUGCGCAGAAUGCGUCCCUGCCCUUUGUACACACCGCCCGUCGCACCUACCGAUUGGACGAUCCGGCAAGAUGUUUGGAGAUGGCAUUUUUUAUCUUUCGGGAUUAAAAUGUUGUCAAAGCUCCUCAAACCUUAUCGUCUAGAGGAAGGUGAAGUCGUAACAAGGUC
rnacentral:rRNA from 1 species